CCACAUCCUGCCCCUCCCCAGAGAAGAGCAAAACCAGUAAUUAUCCCAAUUAACCUCCCUCCUGUCCCCCGCCUUCUGUCUGGAAGGGAGCCGGCAGCCCUUGGAGGGGAAAGGCCCCAUUCCCUGCCCCCCUGAGCCAGCCAGUCCCCGCCCUGGGGCCUGGUGGGAACCAGCACCCCAGAGGGGACAGGCCCCGUGCCCAUUCCAUCUCCUUUUGCAGGUUUGAGCGGUUCCAGCUGGCAUGUGGGGACGCCAAACUCUACGUGUGGGCUCACUCCUACCCCAACCAAGCCCUCUGUGGCACCCGGCUCCCCACCCCCCUGGAAUACAGGGGCACCAAUGUCACCUUGAGCUACGGGCGCAGCUGGACGCUGGCAGAAGGAUUCCAGCUCCGCUACAAGAGAGGUCCCCUCCUCUCUGCCUCACCUCCAUCUUGUAACCUGACACUGGAUGAUUUCUAUGGCGUCUUCUCCCCGCCUGCCUGGCCUGGGGUUCCCGCUGGAGCCCUCAUCCGGUGCCGCUGGGCCCUGGACCCCCACGACAGCCGCCCCCUCACUGUGCUCUUCACCACGCUGGACCUGGCUCCGACCGACUCCCUAGAGGUCUACGAGGAUCACCCAGACCUGUCGGCCGAGCCGCGGCUGCUGCGGCGCGUGGAUGCAGCCAGCAACGGGCAGCCAGUGGCGGUGGAGUCACCCACCAGCCGAGCGUGGGUGGCCUGGCAGGGCCUGCAGGGACGUGGCUUCAACGCUACCUACCAUGUGCGUGGGUUCUGCGUGCCCUGGCAGCGGCCUUGCGGCCGGGGGGAUGAGGCCCGGUGCUAUGGUGAGGCGGAGCGCUGCGAUGGCAUCUGGCACUGCCCAGACGGGGCGGACGAGGAGCACUGCCCAGGCUGCCCGGAAGGGAACUUCCCCUGCCACGAUGGUGCCGGGGGCCCCUGCUACGCACCCGCUGACCGGUGCAACUACCAGACGCUGUGCCCGGAUGGGGCGGACGAGCGGGGCUGCUGGCGCUGCCAGCCUGGCAACUUCCGCUGCGGGGACGGGCGCUGCGUCUACGAGGCCUGGCGCUGCGACGGGCAGCCCGACUGUGCUGACGCCUCCGACGAGGCCUCCUGCCCCUACACUCUGCCCCGCAAGGUGGUGGCAGCCGCGGCCAUUGGCAGCCUGGUCUGUGGCCUCCUGCUGGUCAUCGCGCUGGGCUGCACCUGCCGCCUCUACGCCGUGCGCAGCCGGGAGUACAGCCUCUUCGCCCCCCUGUCCCGCAGCGAUGCCCAGCUGGUCCGACAGGAGGCGCCACCGUCCUACGGGCAGCUCAUCGCACAGGGGCUGGUCCCAGCCCUCGAGGACUUCCCCACCGAAAGCCCCGGGCAGGUGAGACGCAUCCACCCUGCACCCCACUGAGCCCCCCCACUGCAGCCACCACAGCCCUGGCUCCACGGAGAGAGGCCCCACUCCAGGCCCACACCCUGAGCCCCACUGAGUGACCCACCUGCCCUGAGUCAAGCAGUGGUGACCCCCUCCCCCCAGAGAGCCUGGGGCCCAUGGCCGCCCCUGAGCCCCACGCUGGAUCCCCGAGCUGGGGACUCCCUCCCGCUGAUGCUGACCCCCUGCCCCCUCUCGUUGCAGACGUCGCUCUUGGGGAAUCUACGCUCUCUGCUCCAUCUGCUCCAGCACGAGCCGGUGGGGGGG
rnacentral:lncRNA from 1 species